rnacentral:rRNA from 1 species
GGAGUAGCGACGCCGGAUACCACUCUUGACUCCAGCGAAUCCUUUAGAGAUAGAGGAGUGCCUUCGGGAACGCUGAGACAGGUGCUGCAUGGCUGUCGUCAGCUCGUGUUGUGAAAUGUUGGGUUAAGUCCCGCAACGAGCGCAACCCUUAUCCUUUGUUGCCAGCGCGUGAUGGCGGGAACUCAAAGGAGACUGCCGGUGAUAAACCGGAGGAAGGUGGGGAUGACGUCAAGUCAUCAUGGCCCUUACGAGUAGGGCUACACACGUGCUACAAUGGCAGAUACAAAGAGAAGCGACCUCGCGAGAGCAAGCGGAACUCAUAAAGUCUGUCGUAGUCCGGAUUGGAGUCUGCAACUCGACUCCAUGAAGUCGGAAUCGCUAGUAAUCCGUAGAUCAGAA